AGAGUUUGAUCAUGGCUCAGGACGAACGCUGGCGGCGUGCUUAACACAUGCAAGUCGAACGGAAAGGCCCCUUUGGGGGUGCUCGAGUGGCGAACGGGUGAGUAACACGUGGGUGAUCUGCCCUGCACUUCGGGAUAAGCUUGGGAAACUGGGUCUAAUACCGGAUAGGACCAUGGCCUGCAUGGGUUGUGGUGGAAAGUUUUUAAUGGUGUGGGAUGGGCCCGCGGCCUAUCAGCUUGUUGGUGGGGUGAUGGCCUACCAAGGCGACGACGGGUAGCCGGCCUGAGAGGGUGUCCGGCCACACUGGGACUGAGAUACGGCCCAGACUCCUACGGGAGGCAGCAGUGGGGAAUAUUGCACAAUGGGCGCAAGCCUGAUGCAGCGACGCCGCGUGGGGGAUGACGGCCUUCGGGUUGUAAACCUCUUUCACCAUCGACGAAGGCCUGCUUUUUGGGUGGGUUGACGGUAGGUGGAGAAGAAGCACCGGCCAACUACGUGCCAGCAGCCGCGGUAAUACGUAGGGUGCGAGCGUUGUCCGGAAUUACUGGGCGUAAAGAGCUCGUAGGUGGUUUGUCGCGUUGUUCGUGAAAUUCCCUGGCUUAACUGGGGGCGUGCGGGCGAUACGGGCAGACUGGAGUACUGCAGGGGAGACUGGAAUUCCUGGUGUAGCGGUGGAAUGCGCAGAUAUCAGGAGGAACACCGGUGGCGAAGGCGGGUCUCUGGGCAGUAACUGACGCUGAGGAGCGAAAGCGUGGGAGCGAACAGGAUUAGAUACCCCCGUAGUCC
rnacentral:rRNA from 1 species